rnacentral:tRNA from 1 species
GCGAAAGUGGCGGAACUGGUAGACGCGCUGGAUUUAGGAUCCAGUGGCUUUGGCCGUAGGGGUUCAAAUCCCCUCUUUCGCA